CACUCAUAUAUGCUAUGUCUACUCCGGAAGUACCAUCCAUUUCCAUCUCCAGAAUCACCCAAAAAUAUUCUACUCCUAACCCGGGAGAGAAUAACCAAAAAUAUUUCUGAUUUUCCCCAGUAAAAUAAAUGCUCAAGUUAUCUUGUUACUACCACUUGCUACAUUAUCUCAAGAGAUGAGUGCUCUAAAAAACGAGGAAAUAAAAAGGAGCAAGUGCUCGGAACCUCGAAAGAAAAGAAAAAGUGAGACGAGAGGUAAAAAUGGACAAGUGUCCGACAGUAGAAUUAGGGGUACAAGAUACCCACCUGAGAGAAAAGAAAAAGAAGAGCAUCUCAUUUUCCUCACAAAAUUUCAAAAAGCAAGGAAGGUAUGUAUCCCCUCAAAGAGCAAAAGUAGAAUUAGACUUCCACCAUUGUUAUCACCAUACACCAUUCAUUCGCCACACAUACACAUCUUGAUUUGGCUUAUUGAUUUGUUUCUUUGGAUCCAUGGUUUGACUAUGCAAUAAAUGUCUUGUAAGUAUGUAUAUUUUAUCUCCCACCUAUGAGCUCCAGAUAUUAA
rnacentral:lncRNA from 1 species